UGGCAGCUACUAGGGAAGGAGUUCCUGUAUGAGGUAGCUACCUGUGAUCUAGUGCUUCAUGCUUUGCUACCCAAGUACUGCAAGACUUCAGGAACCUCCCAGCUCUGCCUUUCUGCCUGAAAUUCACCAAAAUUCAGCCUGGGGUAGACAGUUGGUUGGAGUGCUUGUCAUUAUGCUGAGCAGUCUGGAAAUCAGUCCACAUUCAUUUUCUAGCCUUUUCAACCUAAAGAUCCAAAGCAAGCAGUUUCCAUAAUGAGAAAAAAAAAAAACUGGCAGAAAGUUUGUCUCACAGUGAAUCGGAUCAUCAGCUGGUGUAAACGGACAUAGCUACUAAAAUGAAUGUUGCUAAUUUAUACCAGCUUAAGUCUGCCCCUGAAAGGUAAUAUAAUUUCAUGGAAAAAAAAAAUAUUUUUCUUUUAUAACUGUAAAUACAAGUUGGCCUUAAUCACUGUAAAAACCAAGUGACCUGUAGGAUAGAUAUACCAUUGCCAAACAUGCCAUAAGUACUCCAGUUUUAUUUUUCUUAUCUAAGUUGUUAACAAAUACAUUUUCCCUUCCAUGGUCCUUUAAUUUUUAUUUAUUUAUUUAUUUAUUUUUUACCACACUAUACCCAUUCCCCAUAAUGUCUUUUGAUAACCAAAAUCUAUUAUUCAAAACAUUAUUUUAUCUCCAUUUAAUCCAAGUGCAACAUCAGAAAUAUUUAAAAAUAAGAAAAAUGUACUACCAAUUUAAAUAGCAGUUUAUCUAACAACUUUGAAAUACCUGAUAGCACUUCUAUUUUGUUUGGGUGGUUUUUUUUUUUGUUCUGUUGUUACAUGUUCCUUUUUAAGGUGUUUUUUUUUUUUUUUUUUUAAUGUUUUAAAUGUUUCUAGGUUUAACAAACUAUUAUUUAAUUGUUCUAACUCUUUGAUAUAAUAGCUUACCUUCCCUUCUUUUAGAAUAUGUGUCAAAAAUGUUUGUGGAGGCAGUCUUAAAAAUGUUGAGAGAGUGUAGUCAGCUAAACACACCCACCUCUUCUUUUCUGGUUUAUGGAAGUGCUCAUAGAUUUUUCAGCUAUUUGUAGAAACAUGAUAAAGUUAAUUGACUGAAUCUUGAUGUCAUUUUCAUGAUAGAAGGUUCUCUUACAAUUUUGAUUAACCCAAGAGCACAAAACAAAACCUGUUAUAAAGCUUCAACAUUUUUUAUUAGGAAAAGAUUGUUAUAAAAUCAAGUUUUAACAAGGUCAGUUGAUUUUUGUUUCUUUCUUUUUUCCCUCCUGAAAAAGGAAUCUGACACCUCAGAUUGCAAUUGGAUUGUUAUUUGGUCUAUUCUGCAUUUCUCACAGCAGAUGAAAACUGUAAUAUUCAAGUAGCAGAACUUCUACAGAAAACAAAAGUAACCUUGUUAAAUAUUAUGGGGCAGCCCAUUAUCUAGUUCUAAGUUGGCACAGCUCCACUGAAGCUCCAGUCAAGUUACUUUGAUAUGAGACAGAUUUUUACUUGGCAUAGAUUUAUUUACGCUUAUAAUAAUGAUGAUUUAUUUUUAAGUAGAAGAGAUUAAAGCAACUACAAACACAGUAGAAGAAAACAAAAGGAAAAUAAGUAUUAACCAACCCAGAUUUAAGCAUUAAAUAUGAAAGCAGUAACAAGCAUUAUAAAUUACCAGUUUGAAGCAACCAGCAUAUGUGCAGCAGCAGCUGCCCUUCUUUCCCUGCUUAUGUGCUGAUUGGACACAUCGUACACAUGCAUUUGAUCCAAGAUCAGUUUACUUGAGAGUAAAGUAUUCAUCCCUAAAUGCUCCUGGGUAGGCAUCUACAUAUACAGGAGGGUGGGAGCAGAUUUGUUGCUCCUAGCAGCUGGUAGUCCUCUUGAGCGCAUCCCACCCUGGCAGUGACAACCAGCAUCCUGGGCUCCCACUGGCCCACCACACUGAAUGCCAGCUGGUCCAUAACUGGCUCCCUCAUGUGCACUGACCACUUGCUUGGCCAUGGAGCAUCAUCCCACGGCUGCCACCACCAUGAAGUAACCACCUGGACCCCAUUCACCUGGCUGGAUCCUGGCAGGGAUGCUGACAAAGGGCUCCAGGAUGCUGCUGCCAGGACUUAUGGCUGUAUGUUGUACAGAAGACCUGGGAUGAUGAGCAGUGGUUGGAGGCAUUCAGGAUGACCCAGGCCACCUUCCUACUUCUCUUUGGGCAACUCUUCCUGUAUCUGGAGCAUCAGGACAUCACCAUGAGGCCACCCCUCCCUGUGGACACCCAGCUGGCCCUCACCCUGCUGAAGCUGGCCAUGCCUGCCAGCCUCCACUAUGUGGGCCAUCUCUUUUAUGAGGGCAAGGCUACUUCCACGGAGGUCAUCCUGGAGGUGUGCGGCACCCUCCACGACAUGCUGGGGCACAUGGUGCUCCAAGUGCAUGAACCCCUGGUGGUGGUGGCAGGGUUCCAUGCCCUGGGAUUCUUGCCUCCCUGUCACUUGCCUGCCCCCUGGUGACUGGCCCUAUUACAGCCAGAAGGUGUUUCACUCCAUUGUGCCCCAAGCUGUCAUCAACCAGCAUAAUGCCUUCACCACUGUGAGCACCAGCUAGGUGGGCAGUGCCCACUCCCCCAUGUGUUUGCAACCCUGCCCUACCAGCCCUGCUGCUAAGUAUUUGCUUCAUGCUGUGGGUGCUGCACCUCCACCUGGGUGCCAUGGUGGUCCUGCCCCUCCUCACUGGGGACCCUGCUUACCUGCUCUUGCCCUGACUCAUGCAGCUCUUCACCAGCUAGAUGGACCCCUACCUAGCCCACUUUAACUGGUGUCUGGUCUGGAGCCAUGCCCUGGUGAAGUGUUCUUUUCGGCCACCUCAAGGGAUGCUGUCACAACCUCACUGCCUGCCUCAGGUUUUACAAGGACAUCUCCUAGGUCAUCGUUGCAUUCUGCAUGCUGUAUAACAUCUGUGAGGCCUGGGGGGAGUCGUUUUGUGAGUCCUGGGUGGAGAAGGUGCGGCAAGUGGAGGCUGCUAGACAGCAGGAACAGCAGCUGCAGUGGAAGCAAAAGCAGCAGGGCCCCCCUUCUAAGACCCCAGGUGAGCCACACACCUGCCAGCAGAGGCCAGAGCACUAGGUGCAAGAGGCGUCAGCUAACUCACAUGAGUGGCAAUGGGUGGCUGCUGUAACCCACUUGGAUAGCUGCCCAUAGUCCCCCAAUCCCCCAGCACUAUGUUUCAUGCAGACAUGUCUCAGAAGAACAACAGUUUUUAUUCUCCUCACAUCAGAGCCCCCUCUUCCCCUUCAACAACCACCCCAACACCAGAGCCCCACCAGAGCUUCCUUUCUCCCUACCCAACACCAGAGCCCCUCUACUACCCAACCCACCCACCAAAAAUAAAACACCCUCUUCCCCAAGCAAAUUAUUUACAAGCCAAAUGCUGUGCUUGUGUACAUGCCCACCUAGCAUGGGUGGCAAUGGGGUCAUUGUGUCUACAGGUAGAGCCCAGGGACAGGUGGCCAGCACCCUGGUCUCUGACUGCUCCCCUGUGGAUGCAUAUGUCACAGCACGCCCAGUGGGUAGGGAGCUCACCCAGAGGUGUCAGUGGCCAGUGGUCCCUCAGCAUGAGUGGCUCCCCAUCUGGCAGCUGAUGUCCACAGCCAGCAGGGCCAGCAUGAAAGCAGCUUUGGCUCUGCACCCACGUGGAGCUGCAGGCAGCUUUGGCUCUGCACCCAUGUGGAGCUGGGCAAGUGGGGGGGCUGGGU